rnacentral:lncRNA from 1 species
GGAAAUCUGUCCCAGGAGGGAGGGAGGAGACAGUCUGUCUGUUCCUGGCCUUGCUUUUGUUUUAUUUAUGCCCUAAUUUUAUUUUCAGAUGAUUCAUUUGAUUUAUUUCACUGCUUUUAAUGUUUCUUUUCUGUUCUGAACUUGAAUGGUACUGUGAAAUAGUCUAAUAUUAAAUUAUGGCGAUUCUGCAUUUUAAAAUGGGCUCGGUGGGGUGGAAGAACACAUGUGAAGCUCAGAGACAUCGUGUUUUAUGUUGGAAAGCUGAAGCUGUCCCUUUGAAUCCUGGCUCAUUAGCAGACCUCACCAACAGCAGAUGACACUUCAGCUAACCUGAGAGUCAGUCUGGAGGCAGUGCAGGAGCCAUCAGGACCACGCCAUGCACUGAGUAAUUUCCCUUUCAGAAAGCUUUAACAACAGCCCUCUGCCUCUGGACCCCACUCAGGCACCUGCUGUUCUGCUUGGUCUGUACCAGCCUGUUUCCAUCUCUACCAGAUUCUGCCCACUGUUGCCAAGCAUGGAGCACCUCGAAGGAGGCCAGGAGAGGAGUAAGAUCUGCUCACCAGGCGUGCAAGAAAGGAGCAGAGUUGAGGUAUGGCCCCAUUGAAACAGCACGUGAUGUGGCUACCUGGCAGCAGUGGUUUUCACUCUACAGAGAAACAACCAAAGCAGUUCCCAAUAUUUAAUUUUGAACUCAU